CUUCUAGAUGGAUAUAUGGAACUAAAAACAAAAAACAGAAAAAAGCGUCAGUCUUCUGCCUUCUAGAUUAUUAUAAUUAUCUUUCCAGUUUUUCCAAUUAAACUAAUCCGUCGCCAUCAUCAUCAUCCUCUAAUAAUGCAAUAGGAUGCUUCAAAGAAACUCCUAUUAAUUGCCAGCCUUUAUGAUCCUGCUGGCCCAGUUUCUUACAAUAUUGCUGGUCUUUUGUGAGCCUCUUUAAUUGGUUUAGCUCCUCUGAUCUUCAAAACGAUGUAUCAUUUGAGAACGCCGCCUAAGCAGCUGCUGCUUGUGCUGUUGCUUAUACUGAUUGUUUCAACGUCCCAGAUGCAAUUACCAGGAGGAGUUGCAGAAGCAAGGCCUAUUUCCUCAAUACCUCAACAAAGAUACUCAAAGAUUUUCUCGACGCUAGGAAUUGUUUGCAAGUGUUGUGAUGGAGACAAGGGUGAAUGCACAAGUACACGGACCGAGUCCUGCUCUAACCUCCAAUGUUUUCCCUGGAAACUAAACUAGCUACUCACUGCAUGUGGUUUUUGUUUUCUCUGGGUUUCUGUACAUAUAUUUACUGAUUGAUAUAUAUAAACCGGGUUGAUCCCAUUAUGCCA